rnacentral:rRNA from 1 species
GUGGGGAAUCUUGCGCAAUGGGCGAAAGCCUGACGCAACCAUGCCGCGUGAAUGAUGAAGGUCUUAGGAUUGUAAAAUUCUUUCACCGGGGACGAUAAUGACGGUACCCGGAGAAGAAGCUCCGGCUAACUUCGUGCCAGCAGCCGCGGUAAUACGAAGGGGGCUAGCGUUGCUCGGAAUUACUGGGCGUAAAGGGCGCGUAGGCGGACAGCUUAGUCAGAGGUGAAAGCCCAGGGCUCAACCUUGGAAUUGCCUUUGAUACUGGCUGUCUUGAGUUUGGGAGAGGUGAGUGGAACUCCGAGUGUAGAGGUGAAAUUCGUAGAUAUUCGGAAGAACACCAGUGGCGAAGGCGACUCACUGGCCCAAUACUGACGCUGAGGCGCGAAAGCGUGGGGAGCAAACAGGAUUAGAAACCCGUGUAGUCC